rnacentral:lncRNA from 1 species
AUGCUGGUGGGGUGUCGGAGACGGGGCUGGCUGCUCGCAAGGAACCCACCUCGCCAUCUCUCCAACCUAGAGUCUGAUGGACUGACUGGCUAUGUGGGUGGAGGGACCGAGCGUCGCCAUUACACCGCCUCGCAGUCGCAUCUCGGUGUCACUGAAGCCCUUCGCUGGCUCGCAGCUCCUGUUCCUUCCAAGGCGGCUCAGAGACCCUCGAGCAUGGAGCAGUUUGAGCCACGGCGAGUCAUCUUGAUGGCCAUGAAGCUUGCAAGAGGUGACACCACGGUGGCUUUGUCCUCCUGCAGAGACAAUGACAUAUCGGUGUCCAUAGCAUUGUGUUCGGUCCCAAUGUUGUUCCUUUGCGGCUCUUGGUGGAGCAGCGAGAGAAACUGUCAGCAACAGUGGGAUUUUACAACUGGGAAACACUGGUCUUUGAGCUAGAGUCCUGGUUACGUUUUAAGAAUGCUGGGAAGGUUUUCUAGCAACCGACAACCCGAUCAGAGGAAUGUCAUUUUUACAGUGAUAAAGGCCAAGAACUUCUGUUCUUGUGGUUUUGCUUUCAAAGGGGAAUGUCAUCAUAUCAGCAAGUCAUCUUCCUCUGUGUUAGCUGCUUAAUCCAUUAGGGAUUGAAUCAAGGCUGUAGUGGACUGCUAAUUCUUGGUUUUGUAUGCACCAACAAUGUAUAUUACAGUACUAGCAAUCUUUUUAUUUCUUUCCUGUAACAGGCUUCGCAAGCUGUUUUUGUAGGCGUUUAGCUCCGGUACCUAGACUAGAAUACUGACAGUUAUUGCAAUUAUUACUUGAGCUUGCUUUCUGUGUACUUCAACAGAUUUAAUUUUGGCUUCUUAAAAGUCCCAAACGCCACUGCUUUAAGCUUCUGUGUUCUGCAUCCAGAGUCCUGAGCUGUUCUCACACAGAAGGAUCAAAGAAACAUACUUAAAGGACAAAUAACGACACCCAUGUGUUCCAUAGUAAGUGUUUUCAUCCUACCCCUCGAGUAACACGCUGCACCCUAAUGGGGGUGAAGGUGAGGCUCUCGUCCUGAGACAUUUACCCUGCCCGUGUGGGUCCACGCUGUCUGGAGCUCCGCUCCCUCGCUCUCCGUGCCACACGAGCCUCGACUCCAUUUCUAGGCUUCGGUAGAACCAUCAUUUGACAUGAGAAAACGCUUCGGAGGUAAUUUCUUGACUGAGGACAAUCGUCAUUUAAAAAAAAAAAAAAAAAAAAUCAUACAAAUUCAGUGACACAUUUUGCAUCUUCCCUAUAUGUUCUCACUAAUUUGCAAAAUGUACAUAUUAUAUAAAAACAUUCACUUCUUGAAGUUCAGUUCAAGACUUUUAUUUUGGACCAUGAACUGCUAGCUUUUAAGUGCCUAUGACAAAGGGUUUUGUUCCAAUUGCUAGGUCACAUACUGUUUGUUUUCCAUAAGAAAGUAUGAGUGCAGUGCUACACAGUUGGCGACUGAUGGGUCCUGAUCUUCAGAGAGUGUCCUAGUGUCACUCAGAUGUGGUGUCACUGCUUAGAUAGAUCUGUUGCGUCUUGUGCACCUCUGAUUCACACUCCUCCUGAACCCUUUGUUUCCUUUAAGACUCUGUCAAAAGGGGUGUCACUCUACUAAAUUCACAUGGCUUCAGGGCAGACUUUUUUUUUUUUUUUUUUAAAAUCGAAACAUCGAGGUUUCGGUUGUUGCCCCAGCCCCUUACGUAGAGGUGAUCUUAUUUGUCCUUUAAAGGUGUUCCCUGUUUUUGUUGCCAUGUACAAUUCCUGAAACAUUUCUGCUUUGCAUCAUUUAUUGAUACGAUAAUAUGAAUGUUACAGGGGUUUUCUCCCUUCUGUAUUCUUUGUUUCAAAGAAUGUUGUGCCAUUUGUUAAUAGCAAAGAGAAAUAUUGAAGAUAUAUUAAAAAGAGCUAUUUUAAAUUAUUUUUGGCUUUUUUUUGCAAUAUUUAUUUUCUUGUAUUAGAAUCUUCUUUGUAGUAAAAAGAAAAACGAAACAAAAAAUGUAUUUUCAUUAGUGCAGAAACCUAUUUUUUCCUUUUUUGUACAUUUUCCAUGUUAAGCAAUCUUUAAAGCAAUAUGAUGUACGAACUGUUGUUCCACGUGGCUGUGGCUGUGUCUGUCUGCAUGCUGUUUGUGUUGCCUUAACGAUGGCUGCGUCUCCCAUGGCCCCCCACCCGUCACCCCUGCCAUCUCCGGUGUGGUUGACCAGUACAGUCAAUAAAGCUGUGCUUUCUGUGUACCA